GACGUAGGGCGCGAGCGUUGUCCGGAUUUAUUGGGCGUAAAGAGCUCGUAGGCGGCUCGUUGCGUCGGCUGUGAAAACCCGCAGCUCAACUGUGGGCUUGCAGCCGAUACGGGCGGGCUGGGAUUCGGUAGGGGAGACUGGAAUUCCUGGUGUAGCGGUGAAAUGCGCAGAUAUCAGGAGGAACACCGGUGGCGAAGGCGGGUCUCUGGGCAUUAACUGACGCUGAGGAGCGAAAGCAUGGGGAGCGAACAGG
rnacentral:rRNA from 1 species